GCGCCGGUAGUAUGCGGGCCUCUCAAGCCCGUGACCCGGGUUCAAAUCCCGGCCGCGGCA
rnacentral:tRNA from 1 species